CCUACGGGUGGCAGCAGUGAGGAAUAUUGGUCAAUGUACGAGAGUCUGAACCAGCCAAGUAGCGUGAAGGAUGACUGCCCUCUGGGUUGUAAACUUCUUUUAUAUGGGAAUAAAAUGUUCCACGUGUGGGAUUUUUUAUGUACCAUAUGAAUAAGGAUCGGCUAACUCCGUGCCAGCAGCCGCGGUAAUACGGAGGAUCCGAGCGUUAUCCGGAUUUAUUGGGUUUAAAGGGAGCGUAGGUGGGUUGUUAAGUCAGUUGUGAAAGUUUGCGGCUCAACCGUAAAAGUGCAGUUGAAACUGGCAGUAUUGAGUACAGUAGAGGUGGACGGAAUUCGUGGUGUAGCGGUGAAAUGCUUAGAUAUCACGAAGAACUCCGAUUGCGAAGGCAGCGCACUGGACUGCAACUGACACUGAGGCUCGAAAGUGUGGGUAUCAAACAGGAUUAGAUACCCUGGUAGUC
rnacentral:rRNA from 1 species